GUUUGCUUUGGUAGACAUAUACUAAAAUUGGAAUGAUACAGGGAAGAUUAGAAUGUCCUUGUGCAAGGAUGACGCACAAAUUUGUGAAGUGUUCCAUAUUUUU
ensembl:snRNA U6 U6 spliceosomal RNA